GAUGAACGCUGGCGGCGUGCUUAACACAUGCAAGUCGAACGGAAAGGCUCCUGCUUGCAGGGGUACUCGAGUGGCGAACGGGUGAGUAACACGUGGGUGAUCUGCCCUGCACUUCGGGAUAAGCCUGGGAAACUGGGUCUAAUACCGGAUAGGACCACAUUUUGGAUGGUGUGGUGGAAAGUUUUUCGGUGUGGGAUGAGCUCGCGGCCUAUCAGCUUGUUGUUGGGGUAAUGGCCUACCAAGGCGUCGACGGGUAGCCGGCCUGAGAGGGGGUACGGCCACAUUGGGACUAAGAUACGUCCCAGACUCCUACGAGAGGCAGCAGUGGGGAAUAUUGCACAAUGGGCCCAAGCCUGAUGCAGCGACGCCGCGUGGGGGAUAACGUCCUUCGGGUUGUAAACUCCUUUCGCUAGAGACGAAGCGCAAGUGACGGUACCUGGAGAAGAAGCACCGGCUAACUACGUG
rnacentral:rRNA from 1 species